AUACUUACCUGUCCGGCCUGCGACCUCGAGCAAGAAGGGGGUCUAGGUAGUGCUUGUACCUCGCCUUGUACUAUGCUUGGGGUAGCGCUGUGUGCGGGGCAAGUCCUCGUUACAACGGAAUAAUUUCUGGCAGGCCGUUGCACGCGCUUGCGCGUCCUCGGC
rnacentral:snRNA from 1 species